AAUAUUUUAGAAACUGAGAAGUAUAUCUUAUUAUUGGGCAUCUGGAGAUAUAUGGAGUUAGUGGUGCAACCGGCUAUGAAUAUA
rnacentral:ncRNA from 21 species